rnacentral:rRNA from 1 species
UACGUAGGGUGCGAGCGUUGUCCGGAAUUACUGGGCGUAAAGAGCUCGUAGGCGGUUUGUCGCGUCUGCCGUGAAAGUCCGGGGCUCAACUCCGGAUCUGCGGUGGGUACGGGCAGACUAGAGUGAUGUAGGGGAGACUGGAAUUCCUGGUGUAGCGGUGAAAUGCGCAGAUAUCAGGAGGAACACCGGUGGCGAAGGCGGAUCUCUGGGCCGAUACUGACGCUGAGGAGCGAAAGCGUGGGGAGCGAACAGG